GACGAACGCUGGCGGCGUGCUUAACACGUGCAAGUCGAACGGAAAGGCCCUGCUUUUGUGGGGUGCUCGAGUGGCGAACGGGUGAGUAACACGUGAGUAACCUGCCCUUGACUUUGGGAUAACUUCAGGAAACUGGGGCUAAUACCGGAUAGGAGCUCCUGCUGCAUGGUGGGGGUUGGAAAGUUUCGGCGGUUGGGGAUGGACUCGCGGCUUAUCAGCUUGUUGGUGGGGUAGUGGCUUACCAAGGCUUUGACGGGUAGCCGGCCUGAGAGGGUGACCGGCCACAUUGGGACUGAGAUACGGCCCAGACUCCUACGGGAGGCAGCAGUGGGGAAUAUUGCACAAUGGGCGGAAGCCUGAUGCAGCAACGCCGCGUGCGGGAUGACGGCCUUCGGGUUGUAAACCGCUUUCGCCUGUGACGAAGCGUGAGUGACGGUAAUGGGUAAAGAAGCACGGGCUAACUACGUG
rnacentral:rRNA from 1 species